AACGAACGCUGGCGGCAGGCUUAACACAUGCAAGUCGAACGCAUCCUUCGGGGUGAGUGGCAGACGGGUGAGUAACGCGUGGGAACGUGCCCUUCAGUUCGGGAUAACCCAGGGAAACUUGGGCUAAUACCGGAUACGUGCGAGAGCAGAAAGAUUUAUCGCUGAAGGAUCGGCCCGCGUCUGAUUAGCUAGUUGGUGAGGUAAUGGCUCACCAAGGCGACGAUCAGUAGCUGGUCUGAGAGGAUGAUCAGCCACACUGGGACUGAGACACGGCCCAGACUCCUACGGGAGGCAGCAGUGGGGAAUAUUGGACAAUGGGCGCAAGCCUGAUCCAGCCAUGCCGCGUGAGUGAUGAAGGCCUUAGGGUUGUAAAGCUCUUUCGGCGGGGACGAUAAUGACGGUACCCGCAGAAGAAGCCCCGGCUAACUUCGUGCCAGCCGCCGCGGUAA
rnacentral:rRNA from 1 species